GUGUUCCCAAGGGCCUCGGCCAGGGUAGGAUGGUACACACAUGGGUGGCUGCUUCUGCAUCCCCAGGGAGCGGAGUCUGACCCGGGGCCCAGGUAAAGAAACUCCUUCCAAGGAUCCAACUGUAUCGAGUGAGUGUAUAGCCUCAUCUGAAUACAAGGAAAAAUGUUUUCUGCCACAGAACAUUAAUCCAGCCUGAUCCUUCUCUCUCUGUUCUCUUUAAGACCUGACACUCUCCUUCUGUGUAAAGAGCCGCUCCAGGAGGUGUGUAAAUGGACCCCUACAGGAAGCUGCUCGGAGGCGGCUCUGGGCACUGGAAAAUGAGGACCAGGAGGUGCGCAUGCUGUUUAAGGACCUCUCAGCAAGGUUGGUCAGUAUCCAGUCUCAGAGGGCUCAGUUUCUCAUCACCUUCAAGACCAUGGAGGAAAUCUGGAAGUUCUCCACCUACCUUAAUUUAGGCUACGUAUCCAUGUGUCUGGAACAUCUCCUCUUUGACCACAAGUACUGGCUUAACUGCAUAUUGGUGGAGGAUACAGAGAUCCAAGUGUCUAUAGAUGAUAAACACCUGGAAACAAU
rnacentral:sRNA from 1 species